rnacentral:rRNA from 1 species
ACGAACGCUGGCGGCGUGCUUAACCCAUGCAAGUCGCACGGAAAGGCCCUGCUUUUGUGGGGUGCUCGAGUGGCGAACGGGUGAGUAACACGUGAGUAACCUGCCCUUUACUUUGGGAUAACUUCAGGAAACUGGGGCUAAUACCGGAUAGGAGCUCCUGCUGCCUGGUGGGGGUUGGAAAGUUUCGGCGGUUGGGGAUGGACUCGCGGCUUAUCAGCUUGUUGGUGGGGUAGUGGCUUACCAAGGCUUUGCCGGGUAGCCGGCCUGAGAGGGUGACCGGCCACAUUGGGACUGAGAGACGGCCCAGACUCCUACGGGAGGCAGCAGUGGGGAAUAUUGCACAAUGGGCGGAAGCCUGAUGCAGCAACGCCGCGUGCGGGAUGACGGCCUUCGGGUUGUAAACCGCUUUCGCCUGUGACGAAGCGUGAGUGACGGUAAUGGGUAAAGAAGCACCGGCUAACUACGUG